rnacentral:snoRNA from 2 species
AUGUCCUUACUUGAACAGGAUCUGUUCUAUAGGCUCGUACUUCCUUAUCCUCGACUUCUAAGGAGACAGGAAACCAAGUUUGGCUGAUGAAUUGUGGCCAUGAGGCUAGACUAGAACGUAAUUGACAUUCACCGUGUCCUUUGAGUCAUGGUGCAGUAGAUGAUCUGUCUCAGACAGACUCCCUAAACUCUUUUUGCUGAUUUCAGUCACAUUGGCUGUCAACAGACG